rnacentral:lncRNA from 1 species
AAAUCUCCAAAGAGCCAGAAAGCGAAUUUUAGUUUUUAAUGUUAUUUUUUUUUCUUUUAAAAGGGAAACCCGAAACCCUAGAUUAUGAAGAAUCAAAUCAUCAAAAAUAAAAUAAUUCCUUUGCACUAUUUUUUUUUUCCAAAAGCUAAGCUUAAAGCGUCAACCAAUGUCUGAUUAUUGAAUAAUUUUUUUGAUUAAUUAGCUAAGAACAAGAUUAAGUGGGGGCAUCCUUCAUUAGCUCUUCCCCACAUCAACUUAUUUAAAUCCCCAAAAUCUAGUGUCUGUUCCAGCUCUUUCUCCAGAUUUUUUUUCUCUCUCCAUUUUUUUUUUACCUAUAUCACUCUUCUUCGGCUUCCCUAGCUUCUUGAGGUAUAAUUUUCUUUGUAAACGGAUCCGAUUUUUUUUUUCUAAUUUUCUCAUUUUUAUUUGGUUAUUUUCUUGAUUCAGUUAAAAAAUUCGUAAUCAGAUCGUUAGGUUAUAUAUUUUGAUUUGACGUUCAUUUUAUGUUGUAUUGUUUUGCGUUUGCAUUUUCUGCUUUGAACGUGAAUGGUGAUUCGUUUUCCGUUAAGUAAUUUGUUUGUUUGACGGUUUUGAGAACUGUUAAUUCGUUUUGAUUCGGAAUUUGUCACUGAUGGCGGUGAAAAGCUUUGUUUUCGAGGUUUUUUGCGUGAAAUCCGUUUGGUUACAGAGAAAGUUAUUGUAAAAAAAAGCCAUCCGAGAAACAUUUUUCUUGUUCAAAACAUUUCUAUAAUAAACCGUUUUGACUUCUUCUUGUCAAGCUUUCUCGGCAACUUAGUUGAGAAAUGGAGUGUUUCACGCCCACUCAAUUGCUAGCAUUUUCUUUCUCUUUAUUACAACAUUUAAAAAAAUUAUUGCUAAAGGAGUUUUGUCAUUUUGGACUUUUUUUCAGGUGACAAUAAGAGGAGAGAAAGUUUAAGAUUCAAAGCAAAUUAGCUUUUGUUUCCAGGUGGUUCUUAUUAAUCUUCUUAACAUUUUCAUGUACGCUAUCUUUUUUAAUUAUUUUAUAUCCUGCCGUUGUCUGAAUAGUGUUUUAGCACUGUUCAUAUUUCUUUUUUUGUUUUGGUUGGGUCACUACAAAGCAUUAUAUGAUUACAUCAGCUUAGUUUCAAUUUAAAAAUUUGUAUUACUGACCCUCAAAAAAAAAUUGCAUUAGUGAAUGAGCUUGAGCCCUUUUAUACAUUGAGAUGCGAAAUAUAUGUCAUAGCAUACACGUUUUCAAACAGUUCUGAUCAUUUUUUGCAAGUUGGCGUUUCAUAUAAUUUCGUUAUGCUUUCACUGCUGUAGAAUCAUCAUUAUUUGGGUUUAUUAGGUAUGCAUAGUGUUAGUCCGUAGCUCUUUCAGCACAACAAUUAUGGAAAAGCACAUAAAAUAUUGUGGUAAUGUCUGUCUUUAUUGUCAUGCGAGAUGUUUCUAUACAUAUAGUUGAUGGUCAUUAAAUACUUGGUUAAAAAUUUGAACAUUUCUUAGAGAGUUUAUGAUGAAUAAAUGGUUUGUAUGCAUGAGUUUCAUGUGGAGAUUUGCUACAUGGCUACAUAUAUCUAGCGUUCAGUUCCUUUUUGCUAGCUAAAGUACAAUUCAAUGAAACUAAUCAUUUUGCUUUUCGUUGAAGUUCUGUUGAAGUAGAAGGUAGGUGAUACGAGUCACAAAAGCCCAAAUUCUUGAAGGCGAGGCCCAAUAAGCAAAUUCCCAGCCCAAUCAAGAAAUCCAUCCAUACUUAGUUGAAAAUCAGGCCAAAUUGUCAAAGUGGCCCAAGUUGUAAAGUUUUAUUUUUAUUUUUAUUUAUUUAUUUAUUUAUUUACUUAGUUUAAAUUUUUAUGUCAAUAUUCAGUCCAAGAGUCUCAGAUAAAAUGACCUUUGACCGAAUUUCCAUAUUAAAAUAAUUAGGAGUUUUUUUUUAUUUUAGUUUUCUAAUUAGAUUAGGACUAGUUAUAAGGCCUAUUUAAAGGCAUGACUGUCCACCUUGUUAAACACUUAUCAUUAUUAUUAAAAUUUCAGAUUUGUUGAGAGCAGAAUUUUCUUUGAGUUUUCUCCAAGAUUUCUCUCUUGAGUUUUCUUUAGAAGUUGUUUUAACAAUCUUGUGAUUGUGGGAGCCAUCUUCAACCUUCUUCUUGCCAUUGAUAUUCUUUGGAGGGGAGAUUAGAGCCGUUUGAAGGGAGUUGUGAGAUCUUUCGAGAUUUCAAGGCUUCUUAGGACUUAUCUUUUAAUUUCUUACUGUCAAUUCUUUCUUUAUUUCUACUUGUGCUGAAUCAUUAUCUAAUCUAUUUUCUGUUCUUAUUGUGUUUUCAGCCUUUUUCUAUCUUAAGGAAUCAGCCCAAAAAUCCCCAAUUUCUAGGGUUUUUCCAUACUCUUUUUUGGGUGAAAUUAGAUUGUCGAAAUUUGGGGAAAACUAUCUUGGUGUUCAAUUGGGCAGAAUCACAAUCUCCUUGAGGGUUUCAAGAACCCUAACACUUAUUUCUAUUCUCAAUUUGAUUCUUUGCUGAUUUGGGGAUUUUAUUUUAGAUCUGAAAAUUCAAAAAUCUAAUCUUUUAAUUUUCUGUUUCGUUUCAGAUCUAAUUGUUUAGGGUUUUCGUAGGAGUUUCUCGUGACUUGGCAACUCGAUCUUGGUCCGCGCGCAACCCCGUAUCAUUUGGUAUCAGAUUUUGGGCGUUUUGGGUGUUCUUGGUUGAUUUCUAAACUGAUCUCUAUUUUUUAAAUUACAAACAGCAGUUUUACCCAGAAAAAUUUUCGAAAAAAAUUCAUUUGAGUGGGUAAACGUUUUCUGAUUGAUCUGAAAUUUUACAUACAUAUUUUUGGCACUGUUAUUGAAUAUACAAAAAUAUUUCCCGCAAAAAAAAUAAGUCGAAAAAGUCAAAAAAUUGAAAAAAGACGAAAUCUAAUAAAAAAUUAAAAAAAUAUUCAGCGGGUUGAAUUUGGUGCCCAAAUUUUCCAGAUCAAAAAUUAAAUAUAUAAGGACACUCUAGAUUUAAUUUCGUGAUUUUUGGAGAUCGGGAACACCUCGAACGAAGUUGUCAAAUUACUCCGCAGUUUUUCGGGUUUUCUGUUUUCAGCAAUUUUUAUUGAUUCUUAGCUGUAGGUUUUCAUUUGUUUACCUUUAUUCUUCCUUUACGUUAUCUAACACCUUCUUGUUUCUUGUGUUAGUAGGAUUUAAACGUAUGCACAACUUCUUCCUCGGUGCAACACGAAUCAAUUGGUGUCUCGUCAGUUUUUGGCAUCCUAGUGCAAAUUAGGAUUCUUUGGUAGUUUGGUUCACACUCUCUAAUUGGUUGAUAUAAACUCUGAUAAAGAACUCACAAGAUUGAAUUCGACCUCAUUGAGAAUUUGAAUUUUCUUUUUGAGUGAUUAAUGGUGAGGUUUGCUAACUUUUAUUUUUGAGUGUUGAGUGUUUAUUUUUUACAGGUUUUGAAGAUGUCUAAAGGUGAUAAUAAUGAUGCACUUAUGAAAGUCCAACAACAGUUAGAUGGACAUACUGCUGCAAUCACACAAAUAAAUGCUACACUUCAAGCAUUGAAUACUACUUUGAAUGAGGUACGAGUGAAUCAAAAACAUCAAUAUCGAGAUCCAAUUAAGGAAGAUAGGGAUAACCAACCCCAAAGGCGCGGCCCUCGACGUGUCACUAGAAUGGAUGAUGAUUUUCAUGAUCGUAGACAAUCAUCUUUGGCAAAACCAAGGAGCGAGCAGCAACGAGAACAUCUCUUUCAUACUCGCUGCCAUGUACAAGGUAAGCUUUGUAGAGUUAUUAUUGAUGGUGAAAGUUGCUCGAACAUAGCCAGCACGACGAUGGUGGAAAAGCUUUGCUUAACCACUACCAAGCAUCCACAACCUUAUCAACUACAAGGGCUUAGCAACGAAGGCCAAUUUAGGGUCACUCAACAAGUGCGCAUUGCCUUUUCUAUCGGUAAGUAUCAAGACGAAGUUGUGUGCGACGUAAUGCCUAUUCAAGCCUGCCAUUUGUUGCUAGGAGAACCAUGGCAACUGGAUCGAAAAGUCACUCACGAUGGUCGUACCAAUAGGUAUUCUUUCAAGCAUCAAGGAAAGAAACUUACCUUAGUGCCGCUCACUCCGGAACAAGUCCAUGAGGACCAAAUCAAACUAAGAAAUUCUGUUAAAACAAGUGAGGAAAAAGAAAAAGAGAAUGAAAAAGAGCAAAAAGAGAUUGAGAGUGAAAAGGAAUGUGAAACAGAAAAGAAAAUUGAAAAAGAAGUUGAAGAAAGAAGAGAAAAUGAGUUAGAAAAAGAAACAAAAGAAAAAGACGAGGAAAGGCUAGUGAGGAAUGUUUCCACUAACCAAGAUAUGAAUUUUUCUUGUGUUGCUACUUUUCAGGUUCCCGAAAGAUCGAAAGAUAACUUUCAACUUCAAUACCUCUCAAAUGAAAGACGCUUUCAUACGAUCAACUUAAGCAAAGAUGAAAUCACACUACAUGAUCCCGAAGGUAAGCGAGGUAAGGAAAUUUUAGAAACCGAGUCCAUUGCAGAUUUGAAAAUUAUUGAUAAAACUUUUGGUGACUUAGUUCUUAAAAUAUCCCCUCAUUUUGAUCCGAUUAAUUGUUACUCUUCGAUUGUGGUUGAUAAAGUCAUUACGAAAAGAAGCGUGAUUUGUUAUUCUCUUGAUUUACCUUGUGUAAAAUCCUCGAAUUUGUCCAAAUCUGUUUUCGAGAAUAAGGUAACGAAAUUUUCCAAAUUUGUUUUCAAUUUAUAUUCGUGCCUUAAACAGUUUAUGUGGUUGUACAUGAAGUUUGAGUUCCAUUUGACAAAGGUUAACUCAACAACGGAGAUUCGACUACACUAUGCCCCCGAUGAGCGAAAGUUUGUUUUAAAUGAAAAAGGUAAAAUCAACCCUUAUUCUUCUGCUUAUCGAGGUAAGAUGCUUGAAACCUUUGAAACACUUUUGUACUCCUUGGAUAGUGAUAAAGAUCGUGUUGAUGAACACUUAGAUCGAAACGUGCUUGACUGUCCUAUUUUAUUUAUUGAUGAUCUAUCUGUUUUGAUGAUUGAUAAAAAGAUUCUUGUUUUUGAUAAUGCAUGUGUGAGUGAAUCUAUAGACCGUCGAUUAAUGCAUGGUAUGAUUAUGCAACUCUGUGAACCAUGUGAAUCUUUUCAAAUACCUACUUGUGACGAUUAUGUUUACCAUUUGAUUUAUUACUCGCAAUUUAUUCAUGGUUUGUGGGAACAAUGUGAGACGACUGAAUGCCUUAAAACAUGUCCAUCUUUGUUUCAAAUAUUUGACGAGGCAGUGGUGAGUAAAUUAGAUUGUUUGCAUGGUAAUCUGAAUCUGUCCAUUCACAUACGUUAUACCUGUUCUGUUAUGCUUAUGAUUGGACUACAAGCUUGUUUCCGUUGCUAUUUACUAUCUCAUGGCUAUUCUUUUCAGUGGACUCAAUUGCCAUUAGUCCCGUUCGAUAGAGGAAAGUCGAGUUCAUUUGAUUUUUCAGAUUCGAGGACGAAUCUUUUUGAGGAAGGGGGGAAUGAUACGAGUCACAAAAGCCCAAAUUCUUGAAGGCGAGGCCCAAUAAGCAAAUUCCCAGCCCAAUCAAGAAAUCCAUCCAUACUUAGUUGAAAAUCAGGCCAAAUUGUCAAAGUGGCCCAAGUUGUAAAGUUUUAUUUUUAUUUUUAUUUAUUUAUUUAUUUAUUUACUUAGUUUAAAUUUUUAUGUCAAUAUUCAGUCCAAGAGUCUCAGAUAAAAUGACCUUUGACCGAAUUUCCAUAUUAAAAUAAUUAGGAGUUUUUUUUUAUUUUAGUUUUCUAAUUAGAUUAGGACUAGUUAUAAGGCCUAUUUAAAGGCAUGACUGUCCACCUUGUUAAACACUUAUCAUUAUUAUUAAAAUUUCAGAUUUGUUGAGAGCAGAAUUUUCUUUGAGUUUUCUCCAAGAUUUCUCUCUUGAGUUUUCUUUAGAAGUUGUUUUAACAAUCUUGUGAUUGUGGGAGCCAUCUUCAACCUUCUUCUUGCCAUUGAUAUUCUUUGGAGGGGAGAUUAGAGCCGUUUGAAGGGAGUUGUGAGAUCUUUCGAGAUUUCAAGGCUUCUUAGGACUUAUCUUUUAAUUUCUUACUGUCAAUUCUUUCUUUAUUUCUACUUGUGCUGAAUCAUUAUCUAAUCUAUUUUCUGUUCUUAUUGUGUUUUCAGCCUUUUUCUAUCUUAAGGAAUCAGCCCAAAAAUCCCCAAUUUCUAGGGUUUUUCCAUACUCUUUUUUGGGUGAAAUUAGAUUGUCGAAAUUUGGGGAAAACUAUCUUGGUGUUCAAUUGGGCAGAAUCACAAUCUCCUUGAGGGUUUCAAGAACCCUAACACUUAUUUCUAUUCUCAAUUUGAUUCUUUGCUGAUUUGGGGAUUUUAUUUUAGAUCUGAAAAUUCAAAAAUCUAAUCUUUUAAUUUUCUGUUUCGUUUCAGAUCUAAUUGUUUAGGGUUUUCGUAGGAGUUUCUCGUGACUUGGCAACUCGAUCUUGGUCCGCGCGCAACCCCGUAUCAGUAGGAGUUAAAUUGAGUGCCGAAUGACAUUUUCUUUGAGCAAGUUUUGAGUUUUUUUGGUGUUUCUUUUCUGUAUUAAUUGCUGCUUAUCGCUUUUGUUGUCCUCACUUCAUUGGAGCAAGUUUUGGGUUUGUUGUCCUUGCCUUAUAGCAGUUCUUAGUUUUGUUUUAUUGCUAUUAGGUUCUGGUUAAGUAACUCAAAACUCUAUGUGAAACAUCACUUUUGAGAACUUAUCAUUUGCUAAGACUGCUAAACCUGCUGGCUCUAUUAUGGUAGAGGCAUGAUCUUAUUGGAUAGGAGAUCUUUGGAAUAUGUAAAAGAAUAGGAUAAUUCUAGAGUGUAGAGCCGGAGGGCAUGUUUCUAAGGUUUUUUUCUCUUCAACUUGCAAGUUCGAUCCUUUCCCCCAGGUUUUGUUUUGUUCUUUUAGUAACUUUGCCUGUACUUUGACUACUUUUGUUGUUGGCUAUUAUAAAUUUUUGGAGAUUUGCUUGGUUUAUGCCAAGCUUUAGUGGUUUAAGAUAUUAAUAUUAUUUAAAGUAAUACACCAUUUUAGAUAUAUUUCUCCAUUUCAUAUUUUAGAAGUUCAUACUAAUCUGUUUUAAAAAUGUUUGUAUAAUUUAUCCCAAUAUAAAAAUUAAUAAUACAUUUUUGUAAAACAAUUUUAAACCUUUAAAUUUUUUGCUAUGUUAUGAACAUGAGAGCUGAGUCACGAGACCAUUGAUGGGUAAGUCGAAGUCAAUUGUCUUCCCUUUAUCUGUAUUCUUGUAAUGAUCUAUUGUGAUUGAUAGUUCAGCCAAUCAAAGGGAGACCAAAACCUUAAGAUUCAAUAGAGAGAGACCCAGACACCUUAGGGUUUUUUUGAUAGAAAUUCUGCUUAUUAUUCCAUACGCCUCUUCAGAUAAGGACCAAUCUUAUUACAUACAUAGGAAAACCUAUUCUAAAAAGGAAAUUAAUUAAUUGAAAUAAAUUCACAAUCAAGAAACCUAAGGGAACACAUAAAAUUGCAACCCAAGACUUGAUUAGAGAAGCGAAAUUAUGGCCUUUCCUAACAUAGGUUCAACCCAUAACAUUACCCCCUCUUGCCAUGUGAGCUUAUCCUUAAGUUUGAAGUCAAGAUAACUUGACAAUAUAAAUCAACCUAGUUCAGUCUCAAUUUUAGUUUUUGGUGCUUCAUGAGUCAAAUAAGCUACUUUCAACCAAAAGGGGUAGGAAAAUUUACUGAAUUAGCUUUAAUAGUUCCCCCUAAUAUAUUGCUGCCAUCAUUACCUUGCCAAGUUCCUCUAUGGUUAUUUCUGACAUGUAGUAUUUGCUGCUUCUAUUCAAAGGCUUUAGUGAGGCUUGUAGUUAUGGCUAAAUUAGGGGGCUCGUGCAUUUGAACAUCCAAGCGAAUGGAAUCAUUUGGUCCAGCCAUGAAAAACCCAUCAUGUCAGUUUACUUGAAUGUAUUGACUAGCUCUUGCUAAUUUUUGUUGAUAUUGUUGCUGAUAAAGCUCUAAAGUUCCUGUCUAUUUCAAACUAACCAGAUCUCCCAAGGAGUUGCCGCCCAUCAGAGCACCAAAACUAAAGGAGCCAUAAUUAUAGGAUUCUUACUGGUUCAUCACAUGUCCCUCCAAUUUGAUUUAAUAAUACCAAAGUGGUGCCUCACCCAGAAUGUGGAAGGCUGCCAAACUUACCUUGUUUGCCUCAUUGGCGUGUUGGUUUUGAAAAAUUAUUCACAUCAAUGUAGCCAAAUCAAAGGAUCCUUUGAUCCAUCAAAAGUUUGAAAAUCUACUUUUGUGUACUUGGGAAUAAUUCCAAUUGAUGGAACCCUCUGCUCCCCAAGUGGUGGUGGCGCCAUGCCUCCUACAGUAGUUGGUGGGAAAUGCAUCGGUCUAGUUGGAUUGUUUUACUGCCUACAUCACCAUCCCUAGUUUUUUUGCCCAAGUAAAAAAUUAGGGUUUUGAGUUGUUCCUAGAUAUGUCGAGUUAUUUGUUGAAGGUAGAUGUUUAUACGAGUUUUUAGAUUGAUGAACUUAGCCUCCACCACAGGUUUCAAAACAAUUCUCUCUUAUAACAAUGCUCAUACAUCAUUGCCAAUGUGAUAUGCUUUGAUGCCAAAUUGUUAUGGACAUGAGAAUAGGAUUUGAGUCAUAGGGCGAUUAAUAGGGAAGUUGAAGUCAAUUGUGUUAUUAUUGUGAUUGACAUUUCAGCUCAUCAAAGGAACACAGAAACCUUAGGACCGGUAAAGAGAGACUUGAAUCUCUUUAGUUUUAUUCAUAGAAAUUUUGUUUAGGGUUUAUUAUUCUAUACAUCCCUUUAAACGAGGACCAGUUUUAUUACAUAAAUAAGAAAUUUAUUCUAAGAAGAAAUAAAUAAAUUGAUAUAAAAUCACAAUCAAGAAACUUAGGAAAGAAUUAAAAUUGCAACCUAGUCCUUAAUUAGAGAAUCAAAAUUUAUGCCCUUCCUAACAUAGGUUUGGCCCAUAACAUGCUAAUUAUAUUUUGUAUUACUAGUACUUUAAACUAUUUAAUUCUGUCAUGUAACUGAUAGUUUUUCCCAGCCUCUUUUUCACACAAUAAAGCUCAAUCAAUAUGUCUUUGCAUGUAUGUUUGUAUCUAUCAUUUUGGUUCCAAACUUUAACUAGUUAAUGCUGGUUAGAUUAGGCUUCCUUUGGUGUGUGGCUAAUAGCUUUUACUUGGAUAGUUUGCACGCUAUGCCUUGUUUAGCAUUGCUUCUCAAACCAAUCUUUCAAGCCAAACGAACUUUUUGAGUCAUUAAUAAUGCUAAAUAGUCAGCUUUUCAAACCUCACCAAAAAGUUGAAAAUUAUAGCUUUUGGCUUUUCGAAAGCUAGUUUGGGUGCCAAAAUAUAAUUUUGCAGGUUUACAAUAUUCAUUGCCUAAAAAGUAUUUAAAAUUUAUAUUUUAUAUAUUAUACUUACAAUGAAUUAUUAUAAAUUAUUUUUGUUAUACUUUCUAUUAUGAGCUAAGUUGAAUAUUUGUUCAUACCAAAAUAAUUUUAACAUGACAUUGUGGUAAUAAUAAUAAAGACAAGGGAAAGAAUGAUACUUUGCAUUUGAGUCAAUUAUUCAUUACUUAUGAAAUUUUUAUUGAUUUAUAAGAGUUAUGCUUAUAUGUUAUAUGGUUUAUACAUUAGAAAAUUUAUUAACAAUUAAUAUUAAUUGCUUAAAUGUAUUAAUUACUUAAAUGUAUUAAUUAUUGAUAUUUCAUACAUCAUAAUAUUAACAAUUUUGAAUACCAUUUAAAUUAACUUAUUUUUUACUUUACAACAUCAUGUCUAAAAUGAAUAUUUUUACUUUUUACUUCUUUAUAGCAAUGCCGAACAUUUGAAAUCGUGUAUCACACUUUUCAAAAGCUAAGUCAUUAUUCAUAUGUGGAAUCAAAAUCUUGAAAUCAUUUAACCCUCCCCAAUCAAGAAAUAGAAGUCAUGGGUCAUUGAUAUUAUUGCUUGUUCUAAAAUUCCAAGCAAAAAUCUCAAAAUGUACUCCUUAUUUGAUUGAGGAAAAAAUAUAAGGAAAAUAACAAUUUUGUGGGGUAGAGAUGAACACUACGAUAAUGAGAUUGAAAUGAUCUAAGUAAUUCAUCAUAAGAAGUGUUCUUGGUGACAAAAUAUAAUAAAUGCUUUAAAAAUGUAAGUGACUAAUUUACAACUUCAAAUCAUUUAAUCUAUAAAAGAUAUAAAUAUCAAGCUGUUAAGUUUCAACAUGCACGACCUAUGCUGAAUUUUCCUCUUCAGGCCCUUUGGUUAGUCCUACCUCAAAUAGAGCCAAAACACAUUUAAUGUCAAUAUGUUGGAAAACUUACCUUACUGCUUUAAGAGUUCAGUCCUAAUUCAUGUUUUCAGGUGCAUUGAGCCUUUGUGAGAGGGUGAUGUGCAUAUUAUUAAUGUCUGUUUUUUUUUAUGUGCAUAUUAUUAAUGUCUGUUUUUCUUUCUUUUGUUAAUUAAUGUAAUGAUAUGAGUUCAUUUCUCUGUUUUUUCUCCUUUUAGCUUAUUUCUUGUUUGCUUUCUUCCUUUUCCUUUAUUAUUGUGCUUGAUUAUGUUUCUUGAUGAAUAACUAGGCUUUGGUUGCAUGAAGACUUAAUGUUCCAAAUGCUAUUUUGAGGUGUAUGUUAGAUAUGUCCAAUAUGCAUCUAAGUUCUAGUUUGCUGUUGUUAUACUUGCAUUUUUACAAUUCAAAGUCAGGUUAUUUUGAUAGUCAAUCAUUGUUCUAUGGCAUUUCUUUCCUACAUGUUACAUCCCUCCUUUUCCGUUGGAUCAACAUUUGAAUAUAACUAAGCUUAAUUGCAAGGCACCUGUCUAAGUUCUAUUUUGCUCUUAUUAUAUUUGCAUUUAUUUUACAAUUGGAAGUCAGGUUAUUUUGAUGGUCCAUAAUUGUUUUAUAGUGUUUCUUCUCAACAUGUUGCAACCCUCCUCUUUUUUCCGGGCUUGGGACCGGCUGUAAUUGCAGCUAUAAGCAUCUUGUGCUACCACAGGCAGAGUUAUUGCAACAUAUGCAUAUAGUUUCUUGUUAAAUACACUGUUUCCUUGCUCUGUGAGCUAUAUUUUAUGACAUUUGGGUUGUGAACCUUCUUGGGAUGCUUGCAUGCUGUCCAAUUUAUUGUAGUGUCCUGAGACUUUCUGAAAGUGAAUGUAGCCUGAAGUUAAGUUACUUUUACGGCCCAAAGUCUCAAUUGUAACUGUAUAUACUGGUUAUGUUAAUCCAAGCUCUUUUUUUUUUUUUUUUUUAUUGGGGGGGGGGGAGUGACUGUCCCAGGUCUUAAGCCAUGUAGGUUAUAUUUGUGCAUCUUCUAGUUAGGCAGUCAACUAGAAACACGAAUUGUAACUGCAUGUGCUGGUUAUGUCAGUCAAAGCUAUUCUCGGGGGUGGGUGGACUGUCCUAGGUCUUAAAGCCAUGUAGGCUAUACUUGUGAAUUUUCUAUUGAGCAGUAAACUAGAAACACGAUCCGAUGGUUUUAACAUUUUGAAAUUGUACUGCCAUCAUAUGUAUAUGCUAUGUUUAAGUCUCUCAAUAUUGGUUUGUAUUAACUAAUCGUGUUAUAUAUUAAAUACCAAAGAAACUCGUUUUUACCUUCUGUUCAUAUAGUAUUGUAAUGUAUUAUAAGGCGGCUAUUUUCUUUAGUUACCUUGAACUGGUAUUCUAAAACUUUUAUAUUAUUAUUCUUUUGGUAUUGCAGGUCAUGUUAUCAGCUUUCUGUCUACAAUGUAAUGAAUGAGAAAACGUAGGACUCUAUAAGAAGGUAAACCUAAUAAAAAAAAAUGAAUUACAUAAGAAGGUAUAAAUAUAAUUGAAAAUUGAGUUGUAGUAAAACUUGAAUGAAUUUACUCUUUUAAGGAUCUUGUUGGUGAUGCUUCCAUAUUUCGAAUUUUUUUGUAGCUUCACCAAUCUAAAUAUUAACAUUUUUCUGAACCACCGUGUUGCUGUCAUAGAAGUUUCGAAAGAUGAAGCUUUUUCAUUUCAAAUUAACAAAAACAAGUGUGUAAUUACGAUAUUCAUUUCAGUCAUCUUUGAAACUUCAAAAAAGUUAAUGCUGGUUUCUCCUUCUUAUAUAUAUAUAUUUAUUUAUUAGCUUAAAUUAUCUUUACAUAACUAGAUGGUUUUCUUGAUCAUCACACACAUGCUAAAGUUCAUUUGUUUAAACAUUUCAAACCAAUGUUUGCUGAAUGAUUGGUGGUUUUAACAUACCACAUCUUACUAUGAGAAGCAUAACUUUGGAACCAUGAGAUAUUUGUUGAUAGAAGUUGAGUGACAUCCAAUCCCAUUUCUGUACAUCUGCUUUUGCUACUGCAAUUGCAGUCUGCUGCAGUUACCAUGAAAAAAAGGUGUACAUCAAAUUGGGGCAAAGAAAUCUGCAUUAAAUCAAAAUCUAACAUAUAGAGUGGGAUGUACCCCAAGUUUGUAGCUCUUGUUGGUGUUUCAUAGCUUUGUUGCUGUGGCUGGCACAGCUGGAGACAAACUGGAACUUGUGAAUCCUCUCCAAUGCCUAAACCAUUUGUAAGAAGGGAGUCUUUGUUUGCACCAUCGACAUCCCUUGUUCCAUAAACCUGGAUGUGUUAAACUUUGAUUUUGAGGUUGGUUUUAGAAAUUCUUAUAACAGGCAAAGGUUUAAUGGUUGAAUCUUUUUAAUGUUUCUAGUAUAUUGGGAUUGUUAUGAUCCAUUAAUACCUUCUUAUAUAAUUCAUUGUUUUCUUGACGAAUUAGGUUUACCUUCUUAUAGAGUUCCACAUUUUCUUGAUGAAUUAUGUUCCCCUGCAACGAGACACUGCAAUUUAGCCACUUAUGCUGAGACAGUAUGGUAGUAAGGAGCUGAAGUUAUUGUGUCAGGAUUUACCUUUCUGUUCAAUUCUUGAAUUUCAUUCAUUAAAAUUUGAUCCUACAGCAGUGGAAUAAAUGUUACUAAAUGGGGUUGCUUUAUUUUGCAUGCUGUUUUGAACUUAAAAUCUGAGCAUGACUUGGAAAUAAAAGUUUCAAACCUUCUUCAUACGAACACCGCGAAGGCUCAUUUCCAAUUGGCUCUCCAAAUUCUGUAACUCUUUUACACCCAAUCCAGAAAGUUCUUCACCCAUCAUUUGCCUGUUUUGGUGUGCAGAAGCAUAAUUUCAGUCUAUAAAUUUUCAUCUUAGACAUUAUAAAAGUCUUUUGUAGGCAUGUACAUGAGAUGCAAUGGACUUUACAUUCUCAUUCUACUCUUGGGUCCAUUCAAUGCUUCAGGGUUAGAUAUGAAAUCCUUUUAUAGGAAAGAAAAUUAUGGCUGGGACUGCUAGUCUCUGUGUGUUCAUUUUUGUUGAAGGAUGAAUGAUUCAUUCAGUCUAAUCUUUAGAUAUAUAUGAAUCAUGCCAUAAAGGAUAGAACAUUCUAAGCAUAGUUGCAUCAUAAAAGGGUGGAAUAAGUAGUUCUAAAAUCCAUAGGGAAAGCUGUUAUUUGGUUGAAAAGUAUGAAGCUGACUGUGUUGAACUGAGACAUAUGGGCGUAAGUGUUGUGUUUGGAAGAAUGCCUAAUGUAAAAAGAGUUAUUGAUUCUGCAUUUUUGGUUCAUUGUAUUUUUUUCAUUAAUGUUUAACAUGAUGCAUUUGUAUCGCCAAAAAAUUGGUUUACCUGUGAUUUUCUUGCAGGUUUUGCAAUUUCUGUCUCAGAAUUGCUGCCUCCCUCUGCCAGAACUGAAAAAUAUGGUUCAAUAUAUUUAGAUAACUUUGUUACUGGUAUAUGACAAUAACCAUGCAUAUCAUAUAUGUGGACUCAACAAUGUUCUGAAUACUGCAAAUGUAGGCAAAUUUACACGCAAAAGGAAAUCAAACAUAUUUAGAUUCAAGGUUCUUGCUAGAGAAGAUUUUCAAUCUUGUAGAGAAGUUAGACUAUGAGUUAAAUUAAGCAAGAAUAUGUAUGUUUAACCAUUUUGAUGAUAAAUCACUUCUUGAGUUCUUCGUGUACUUGUCAAAGUUAUGCACAUUUUAGCUCUUGCUGUGGAAGCUUUAUUCUAUUUUUGUCUUUUGGAUUUAAAAAUUAGGAUCUUAGAGCUAACAACUAGUAAAAAGCUAGGUGAAAUUUAUAUGCACUUACAGAUGCUUUUUCUUCUAGAAAUUGCCAAGUACAAACUUCAGGAUAUUGGAGGAUGCUUCUAGUUCUAUGUAUUUCACCAAUGGAAGCUCAAAGGAAUAAAACACAUCAGGAUGUGAAUUCCAAUGUAGAUAGAUAAUAUAUAAAUUUCUGGAUUUGGUCUACAAGCAAGGAAAUGAAAGUUCUAUUUUGCCAUUGGACUAUGUUAUUGACUUUGGAGCUGUUGAUGAAUAUAAUGUGUUGGAGGAAGCUAUUGCUUAGCUUCUCAACAAAGUUGAGGCAGUCUUUGGAGAAAGAUAACUGUAAAAAUUUCCUCCUUUCUUUAGGGUAAUUAAAGGCUCUUAUUUUUGGCUUGCCUGCUCAAGAAACUUAGCAAGUAAAAUCCCAUGGGAAAUUUAUAUGCACUGAUAGUUUUCUGCUGGAUAUAGCGAAGUACAAACUUUCUUCAGCGAGUUAAAUGAUUCUUUAUCUAGAAUUAAUCAGAGAAUGCUUCUAGCUUCAAUAUAUAUCAUAGGUAAAAACUGUAAAAGCAUCAAAAAGCAUAAUAAGAGGCAGGAGUCAUGGUUUUCAAAGUAGAAAUAUUAUACUUCAGUAUUUGCGUUUGGUCUAGAGGCAAGGAACAUCAGGUCUAAGAUGAAAGAUGGCUUUAGAAGGAAAUUUAUGAAGUCAUUAGGUAAAGCUAACUGCAAGGAUUUUCCCAUUGUUUAAUGUAACUUCCUGUUAGAAUGUUCAUAUCGUGAUUUAAACAUGAGGGAGAGUUAAAAGCAGGUUUUACUAUUGUCAACUGUUAUAGUGGGGAUUUCUCAUUGGUGAAUUAAAAACUUUUCACUGGAAACUUUGAAAGUACUGUUAUUCUUCAUAGAGAAAGACACCUACAGAGGAAAUUUACCAUUGCGGUCGCUCUCUAAAGGAAAUAACUUCCAUGCACAUAGGAAACUUAGAACAAUUGACUGCUAUGCCACUCUGUAAUCUCUAACUUCGUCGAAUCUCUUCUUUACUUAAUUCUAGGAUUCUGCUCUAAGAUAACAGUUAACAUUGGAAAUUUUUUAAUCUGUUGAUCAGUUAAGAUUUUAGUCAUUUUUAUGCUGUAGUUGCCCCUUAAACCAUAAAAGCAUGACAGCAAGCUAUGAUAAGUGGUAGUUCUCUCAACUUUCCAGGUUGAAUGUCAUGACUGUGGCAGGUACAAGUACCUCCUUAUAACUUUCCAUCCUUGCGUGCGUCUUUAUGUUAGAUGUUAAUUCUUUCAUCACCACAUGAAUACUAGUAGGAGAGAGCAUAAGUAUAUAUUAUAUUUUAAUUAUUUUACAUAUAUUAUAAAUAUAUAAUAUAUUAUUUAAAAAUUAAUUUGGUUAACUGACUGAAUUGACCGAUGUUAAGUUGGUUUGGUUAUAGUAGGAGGAUGGUAAAUUAAGUAAAAAGCCAUCCAAACCGACUGACUUAACCAUAUGUGCACCCCUAAAUACUAGUGCAUGAUUUGACCAUAGUUCUUGUUUUCGGGAGGUAUCUUACUGCUAUAACUGGUCUCUAUUCGUUGUCUGGUCUGAACUUUGUACCAUUCUCACCCUCAUCAAUUUUUAUAUUUUGAAAUAUAUCCUCUUUAUCACUGUUAGAAUUAGCAUGUCCUAGGCUCGUAGAUUUUGUAGACCUAUCUCAUUGUGUUUUUUUAACUAGUCUCAAAUAAUAUUUUUUUGAUUGAUAGGUAGAUAAAUAAAAAGAGGGAGGGAGGGAGUUAAUUGAAGUGUUGCCUAGCCUUCCAGUGGCGAUAUGAAGUGUUUGGUUAUCCAAACUAAUCUCCAUUUAAUGUCCAUUGUCAUGCCUGAAGAUGAUAAUUUCUUAGCAUUUUUAUUUUGCUUAUAUUCACCAUGGGCCCAUUUUGGUUUCUUCGAUGUUGUAUCUUAAUUGGUAAUGUUUCCAUCAUAGAAAGGCAAGAUCCUAGCAUGGUUAGCCUAUGCAUGCACUUAUCUCAUUCCUAUUCCAACAAUCCGAAGAGUAAUUAAUGGAAUGUAUCCAAACCAAUUAUCUUCAGGUUUUGCUGCGGCCAAAUUUUUGUCAUCAGUUGCACAAAAUCUAGACCUGAAACUGAUGCUUAACUAUAAAAUUUUACGAGCAUUUUGUCCUAUUAACUUAUGCCUGCUGCCAAUCUGAACUGAUGCUCAGCUAUAUAAAUUUACAAGCAUUUUGUAACAGUAGCCUAUGCCUGCUGCCAACCUGAGACCCAUGCUUAGCUAUAAAAAAUUUUCAUGCAUCAUGUUUCCAGGUAUGCUUGUAAUGUUUGGUCCCCGAAAAAAUUAUUUAACCUUGCAAUCUUACAUUUUCUUUUUCCGGAGAAGUUAAAUGCCUGCUAAUUAGCUAAUAAUAAAAUUAUGUAUCAAGCAUGCUCUGUAGAUACAAGACAUUUAGGAUUAAGUACUUAAACAAUACCUUGACUUCUGAGGUUGGGCUCCCCAGUUG